CCCCCAGUGAGGGGAUUGGGUGUGGCUCAGUGGUAGAGCCCCUGCCUAGAAUCCCCCAGUGAGGGGCUGGGGGGAUUGGGUGUGGCUCAGUGGUAGAGCCCCUGCCUAGAAUCCCCCAGUGAGGGGCUGGGGUGUGGCUCAGUGGUAGAGCCCCUGCCUAGAAUCCCCCAGUGAGAGGCUGGGGUGUGGCUCAGUGGU